GCUUUCGCUCGCGUGCGUGGCAAGGAAAAAGGUGGUUCCCAGGAGAAUACUCAUGGAAGGGGACGUAUUUGCCAACAAGCAAAAUGGUGCUAAUCGGCAUGCAAAGAGCAAAUGGAGAGACAGCAUCACAAUGAAGGACAGAAGAAGGAUGAACCAGGGGCUGCAAACCGACUUUCUGUUAUGUGGACUAGAUUUUGACCUGCUGAUGUGAGGUGUUGGCCCUCCCAUGCCCAAGCCUAUAAGUCAUCUACUCUCCUUCCUCCAGCGCCG